rnacentral:misc_RNA from 1 species
AGCAUUGCACCAAAUCAUUCAACCUAGCAACUCAAAAAGUGAAAUAAUAUAUUAUUAUCCAUGUUUUCUUCCAUAAAAUUACAGUAGAAAAACUAAGGCUGUUAUCAUAAAUUUCUGAAGAAGUAUGUCUAGCGAUGAUUUUGAGGCAUGAAAUAUUGUAGGUGCUUCCUACCGUUAACUUUGUUUUUACUGUACUUUAUUUUUACUUUGUACUCUUAGCCAUGGGAUGCAAUUUUAUUCCAUUCACUAUGGUGGUUAUUGACAAAACAGUAUUUACCGUGUUAAAAACAAAUUCAACAUAGAAUCUCCCAAUAUUAUAUAUAUGUGAAUUCUACAAGUAUCAACUACCAUAGAUGUGUACAUAGAAUUGAAUUCCAGUCAAUUAUUUAUGAAACUGAGAUAAAGAAUUAUAAAUCUAGUUUCUAAAAAUGAAGACCAACAUGCUACAAUAUAAAACAGAAGCUAACUACCAACAUAGCCUGAGCAUGCACUACAAAGAGGACCCGCCAGAACUGAGUUCAAAAUGCAAUUGCAUCAUGCUAUUUGAUACAGAAUGACUUGGAAUAUGCAAAUGCAU